GACGAACGCUGGCGGCGUGCUUAACACAUGCAAGUCGAACGGUAAGGCCCUUCGGGGUACACGAGUGGCGAACGGGUGAGUAACACGUGGGUAAUCUGCCCUGCACAUCGGGAUAAGCCUGGGAAACUGGGUCUAAUACCGAAUAGGACCACAGAACACAUGUCCUGUGGUGGAAAGCUUUUGCGGUGUGGGAUGGGCCCGCGGCCUAUCAGCUUGUUGGUGGGGUGAUGGCCCACCAAGGCGACGACGGGUAGCCGGCCUGAGAGGGUGUCCGGCCACACUGGGACUGAGAUACGGCCCAGACUCCUACGGGAGGCAGCAGUGGGGAAUAUUGCACAAUGGGCGGAAGCCUGAUGCAGCGACGCCGCGUGGGGGAUGACGGCCUUCGGGUUGUAAACCUCUUUCACCAUCGACGAAGGUUCGGGUUUUCUCGGAUUGACGGUAGGUGGAGAAGAAGCACCGGCCAACUACGUGCCAGCAGCCGCGGUAAUACGUAGGGUGCGAGCGUUGUCCGGAAUUACUGGGCGUAAAGAGCUCGUAGGUGGUUUGUCGCGUUGUUCGUGAAAUCUCACGGCUUAACUGUGAGCGUGCGGGCGAUACGGGCAGACUUGAGUACUGCAGGGGAGACUGGAAUUCCUGGUGUAGCGGUGGAAUGCGCAGAUAUCAGGAGGAACACCGGUGGCGAAGGCGGGUCUCUGGGCAGUAACUGACGCUGAGGAGCGAAAGCGUGGGGAGCGAACAGGAUUAGAUACCCUGGUAGUCCACGCCGUAAACGGUGGGUACUAGGUGUGGGUUUCCUUCCUUGGGAUCCGUGCCGUAGCUAACGCAUUAAGUACCCCGCCUGGGGAGUACGGCCGCAAGGCUAAAACUCAAAGAAAUUGACGGGGGCCCGCACAAGCGGCGGAGCAUGUGGAUUAAUUCGAUGCAACGCGAAGAACCUUACCUGGGUUUGACAUGCACAGGACGCCGGCAGAGAUGUCGGUUCCCUUGUGGCCUGUGUGCAGGUGGUGCAUGGCUGUCGUCAGCUCGUGUCGUGAGAUGUUGGGUUAAGUCCCGCAACGAGCGCAACCCUUGUCUCAUGUUGCCAGCGGGUAAUGCCGGGGACUCGUGAGAGACUGCCGGGGUCAACUCGGAGGAAGGUGGGGAUGACGUCAAGUCAUCAUGCCCCUUAUGUCCAGGGCUUCACACAUGCUACAAUGGCCGGUACAAAGGGCUGCGAUGCCGCGAGGUUAAGCGAAUCCUUUUAAAGCCGGUCUCAGUUCGGAUCGGGGUCUGCAACUCGACCCCGUGAAGUCGGAGUCGCUAGUAAUCGCAGAUCAGCAACGCUGCGGUGAAUACGUUCCCGGGCCUUGUACACACCGCCCGUCACGUCAUGAAAGUCGGUAACACCCGAAGCCAGUGGCCUAACCCUUUGGGAGGGAGCUGUCGAAGGUGGGAUCGGCGAUUGGGACG
rnacentral:rRNA from 1 species